rnacentral:lncRNA from 1 species
UCUUAUCGAGUUCUAAGAAAUGAAUUUCUUAAUUCAUUAAAGAUAAUAAAAGACUUUAUGUGCUUAUGUGUUAAAUUAUGUGCUCGCUAGUACGGAUUAGUAACUAAAACUUAAAAUUUUGUUGUCAGGAUGUCGGAUGUUGGAGGAGCUAGUCGAGCUGGGGAGGAGGAACCCCGAGUACCUACAGAGGAGGAGCCCCGAGACAUUCAUGUCGUCAGGGAGCAGUUGGUACGGAGAGAGCCAUCUCCUUU